CCAACCCUCUCACUGAAAACAGCAAAAAUCACAAGGCUACUUGAAGGUAUUAGAGAGCAAUAACAGCAGCUAGGAUUUGUGCACGUUAAUGCCAGCAUGAAGCAAAACAUAUAAAGAUGUAAGCCAGGCCUUCGCUGCUGAUUUUUCUCCUUGGGUCCUUUGCUGACUUGGAGCACAGAAUACCGAAGUAGAGAAGAAAGCAGCAACCUAGAGCUCCAAGCAGUCUCACAAGAUAUCACAUUGUUUACAAGUUGAAGGUCUGCGGAAACCCUGUGGUGUAAUCUACUUCUCAGUGCCAUUUUUCCAACAACACAUGUUCAUUCUUUGUUUCUGUGUCACAUUCUGGUAAUUUUCACAAUCUUUCAAACUUUUUCAUUGUUAUUAUAUCUGUUAUGGUGAUCUGUGAUCAGUGACAUUUGAUAUUACUGCAGCAAUUAUUUUGAGGCAACACAAAAACCAUAUCCAUAUAAGAUGGCAAAUUUAAUUGAUAAACAUUGUAUGUGUUCUGACUGAUCCAUUGACAGGCUCUUCCCUGUCCCUCUCCCUCUCCUUGGGACUCCCUAUUCCCCAAGGCACAACAAUAUUGAAAUUAGGCCAAUUAAUAACCUACGAUGAGCUCUAAGUGUUCAGUCAAAAGGAAGAGUCACAUAUCUCUUACUUGAACUCCAAAGCUAGAAAUGAUUCAGCUUAGUGAGGAAAGCAUGUCAAAAGCCAAAAUAAGCUGAAAGCUAAGCCUCUUGCACCAAAUAGCCAAGCUGUGAGUGCAAAGGAAAAGUUCUUGAAGGCAAUUAAAAGUGCUAUUCCAGGGCCAGGUGCAGUGGCUCAUGCCUGUAAUCCCAGCACUUUGGAAGGCCAAGGUGGCCAGAUCAUCUGAGGUCAGGAGUUCAAGACCAGCCUGGACAACAUGGUGAAACACCAUCUCUACUUAAAAAAAAACAAAAAAGUCAGCUGGUCAUGGUGGCGGGUGCCUGUAACCCCAGCUACUUGGGAGGCUAAGGCAGGAGAAUGGCUUGAACCCGGGAGGUGGAGGUUGCAGUGAGCAGAGAUUGUGCCAUUGCACUCCAGCCUGGGCAACAAGAGCAAAACUCUGUCUCAAAAAAAAAAAAAAAGUGCUGUUCCAGUGAACACAUGAAUGAUAAGAAAGUAAAACAGCUUUAUUACUGAUAUGAGAAAUUUGAGUGGUCUGCAUAAAAGAUCAAACCAACCACAACAUUCCCUUAAGCCAAACCAUAAUCCAGAGCAACAUCCCAGCUCUCUUCAAUUCUAUGAAGGCUGAGAGAGGUAAAGAAGCUUCAGAAGAAAACUUCCAAGUUGGCAGAGGUGGGUUCCUCCACAACAUUAAAGUAAAAGGUGAAGCAGCAAGUACUGAUGGAAAAGCGGCAGAAAGUUAUCCAGAUGAUUAGCUAAGAUAACUGAUGAAGAUGGCUACACUAAACAACAGAUUUUAAAUGUAGAUGAAACAGUCUUCUAUUAGAAGAUGCCAUCUAGGACCUUCCUAACUAGAGAGGAGAAGUCAAUGCCUGGCUUCAAAGCUUCAAAGGACAGGCUAACUCUCUUGUUAGAAAUGAAUGCAGGGAUCUAGAACUAGAAAUACCAUUUGACC
rnacentral:lncRNA from 10 species